ACGUUUUAAACCGUUCUUUUUUGGGGUCUUUGGUUUUGUUGUAGCUGUUGGUUUUGUCCUGAAUUUUUGAUUGGGCUAGUCGGAUUUUGCGUGUAAUCUCAAAUUCCUGGCAACUUGAUGGCUCUCUGAUUUUACUUUUAGAUGAUGAGAUUGUUUUUUUUUAAUACUGGGAAUCCACAACUUGGUAAUUGAGAUUUGCUCUUACUAUUCGGUGGUUGAUGAAACAGUAACAAGAAGAAGAAACGAGGUCAACGGGCAGUAGGAGCUGAUAAGAGCGGCAGAGGACUCAGGC
rnacentral:lncRNA from 1 species